ACAUUUCACUAGCACUGCCUAAUACCAGCUCACACUGGCAAAAUUCUGCAAUUCUUCCUGGUGGCUGAUAACGACGUAGAACACAAAAGGUCACAGAUUGUCCCUCAAGUGAAUGGAAGGGGCUGGAUUGGAUGACCUCCAUGUUCCCCUCCAGACUUCUCUCGUACUCCAAUGUAAUCGAACAAUAUGAUGCUCUCUGGGUACCAUGCCUUGAGGGAGAUCACUGUGGUGCAAUUCACUCUCUACAGCUUCCCAUGAGAUCAGGCUGAGGCUAGACCUCUCUUGAAACUACAGGUUUGCUGAGGUCUUCCCCAUCCUGCUUCUCUUAGUCCCUUACCCUGAAACCCAUCCUCAAUAAACCAUUGCACAAAAAUCUGUGUGUCAGACUACUUCUAGUAAAGCUGGCCUAAGAUAGCUG